rnacentral:lncRNA from 1 species
GAUCUCUCCCAUUCUCUCUCUCUCUCUCAACUCUCUCUCUCUCUCUAAUCACCACUCUAACACCACCAUCACCACCAUAAACAUCCUUCCCUCUUCUCACUCACCACCACUCUAGCCACUGCCUAGAUCCCUCCAAUCUUAGAUCUGUUACUCUGUAAACCCACAUAAUUUUACAACACAAACCCACAAAAAUUUUACAAUUACUUCAACAAAAAGAUUGAUACUUUGAGAUAUACUCAACGAAAUAUGCAUCUAAACACGAAAUCAGCAGUUUAACCGCUCCAAAUUUAAUGAUUUUGACUCAAUUCUCCUGUUCGUACUUCGAGAAAUCAAUGGUUUAGACUCGGUUUUUGCAGAUCGGGAUUCCAGAUCGACGAUUUUUGCAGAUCGGGAUUCCAGAUCAACGGUUUUUACAGAUCGAGAAGGUUUAGACUAGCUUACUCUGAACCGACGGAACUGACCGAUUUGCAGAGCAGGAUUCCAGAUCAGGUACUGGUCUUUAGCUUGCUCAGAUUCUAGAUUGGGAUUAGCUUGCAGUGUUUUGAUCAGUUAUGCGUGAAGAAUAAUGAGGAACACCUGGUGAUGUUAGAGAAAUAUAGAUGAAUUAUUCAAUUAGAGUGGUGAUUAUGGGCAGUGGCUACGGUGAUGGUGAGUGGUGUUAG